UACGUAGGGUCCGAGCGUUGUCCGGAAUUAUUGGGCGUAAAGAGCUCGUAGGCGGUCUGUCACGUCGGCUGUGAAAACACGGGGCUCAACUCCGUGCCUGCAGUCGAUACGGGCAGACUAGAGUUCGGUAGGGGAGACUGGAAUUCCUGGUGUAGCGGUGAAAUGCGUAGAGAUGCGGAGGAACACCGAUGGCGAAGGCAGCCCCCUGGGCUGACACUGACGCUCAGGCACGAAAGCGUGGGGAGCAAACAGG
rnacentral:rRNA from 1 species